rnacentral:tRNA from 1 species
GCGACUGUAGCUCAGUUGGCAGAGCACCUAGAUUCUUACUAGGAAGCCGUGGGUUAAAAUCCUGCCAGUCGUC